GACGAACGCUGGCGGCGUGCCUAAUACAUGCAAGUCGAACGCAGUGGGGACGGGUGAGUAACACGUGGGUAACCUCCCAUCAGAGGGGAUAACACUUGGAAACAGGUGCUAAACCGAUACUGAUGGAUGGACCCGCGGUGCAUUAGUUAGUUGGUGAGGUAACGGCUCACAAAGGCCACGAUGCAUAGCCGACCUGGGAGGGGGAUGGGCCAAACUGGGACGGGACCACGGCCAAGACUCCUACGGGAGGAAGCAGUGGGGAAUCUUCGGAAAUGGACGAAAGUCGGACCGAGCAACGCCGCGUGAGUGAAGAAGGUUUUCGGAUCGUAAAACUCUGUGGUUAGAGAAGCGGUAUCUAACCAGAAAGCCACGGCUAACUACGUGCCAGUAGCCGCGGUAAUUC
rnacentral:rRNA from 1 species